rnacentral:rRNA from 1 species
CGAAAGCCUGACGGAGCAACGCCGCGUGAGGGAGGAAGGCUCUUGGGUUGUAAACCUCUUUUCUCAAGGAAGAUAAUGACGGUACUUGAGGAAUCAGCAUCGGCUAACUCCGUGCCAGCAGCCGCGGUAAUACGGAGGAUGCAAGCGUUAUCCGGAAUAAUUGGGCGUAAAGCGUUCGUAGGUGGUGAUGUAAGUCUGCUGUUAAAGCGUGUAGCUUAACUACAUAUAGGCGGUGGAAACUACAUGACUAGAGUGCGUUCGGGGCAGAGGGAAUUCCUGGUGUAGCGGUGAAAUGCGUAGAUACCAGGAAGAACACCGGUGGCGAAGGCGCUCUGCUAGGCCGUAACUGACACUGAGGGACGAAAGCUAGGGGAGCG